AGAGUCACUCCUACGGGAGGCAGCAGUUGGGAAUCUUGGACAAUGGGGGAAACCCUGAUCCAGCCAUGCCGCGUGAGUGAUGAAGGCCUUCGGGUUGUAAAGCUCUUUCGCAAGGGAAGAAAACUUAGCUAAUAACACUAGCUGAGGCUGACGGUACCGGAAGAAGAAGCACCGGCUAACUCUGUGCCAGCAGCCGCGGUAAUACAGAGGGUGCAAGCGUUGUUCGGAAUUAUUGGGCGUAAAGGGCGCGUAGGCGGUUCGGCAAGUCUCUAGUGAAAUCUCUGGGCUCAACCCUGGAAGUGCACUCGAAACUGAUCGGCUUGAAUAUGGAAGAGGGUCGCGGAAUUCCCGGUGUAGAGGUGAAAUUCGUAGAUAUCGGGAGGAACACCAGUGGCGAAGGCGGCGACCUGGGCCAAUAUUGACGCUGAGGCGCGACAGCGUGGGGAGCAAACAGGAUUAGAUACCCUGGUAGUCCACGCCGUAAACGAUGGGCACUAGAUGCUUGGGGGAGCGACCCUCCGAGUGUCGGCGCUAACGCAUUAAGUGCCCCGCCUGGGGAGUACGGCCGCAAGGUUGAAACUUAAAGGAAUUGACG
rnacentral:rRNA from 1 species